UGAAGAACAUAGUAAACUAAGCACCUGACCAGUAUUCCGUGCUUUCAAAGUCAUCAGAAACAAGGCCUAAGGAACUGUCACAGCCAUGAGCAGCCUAAGGAGUUGUGACUAAGUGCUCCUGCUCUGUACUACCCUGUGUGGGAUUCUGAAACAGAAAAGAAUAUUACAUUAAAACAGGAAAUCUAAAUUAUAUGCUUUAGUUGAUAUUAAUAUAUCAGUGUCAGUUCAUUAACUAUGACAAAUACUCCACACUAAUUUGUUAGUAGGAGAAAUUGGAUGUAAGCUAUAAAGGGACUGUACUAUUUUUGCCAUUUUUCCAUAAGUCAUUUUUAUAAACCUCAAAAAUAUAUAAAAAUGUAUAAUGUUUGAAGCAUGAAGAUACAUCAUUAUAUACAAAACAAAGUGCAGGACCAACAAUGGGAGAAAGACAUAAGUAACAAUGGCUCUCUACCAGAUAUCAUUCUUUAGAAAGGCAAAGUAUAAGCAGUUUGGAGGAGAUUGACAUUCCUGUCUCGACUUUAUCACCAACAAAUCAUAUAAUUUUGCAAAAAAUGAUAAAAACUCUUUUAAUAUUUGUCUCUGAACUCUGCCUCCUGAAAAUGACACUCUCAAUAAAUAAAAUUCACAAAUCGUGAGAUUUCACUAUACAAAGUCCUUAGUCAUUCUUGUAAUUUAGUCAUACAGAUAUGAGUACCUAUAGUUUUUAUUAUUUUUACCUAAGAUUAUUACAGCUUCUCUAUAUGAGAAUUGAGAAAUCUUUUCAUCUCUGUACAGUUUUAAUUUCUCAAUUCUCUAUAAGUUGUUUGCCCCUUAUCAGUUUUAGAAGCAAACUCCAUAGUGCCCAAAUUCUAAAAAAGAUCUAGGGUUGGAAGUGGGUUGGGAGUCUCAUGAAUUCCAAGUUCAGGUUUCCACUGAUAAUAGCAGUCAAGGUGUUAUGAAUUUCCUUAUAUGAAUGAACUUGCUUUACUGUCAAUGAUAAUCUGUGACCAACUGUUUCAGAACCUUUUUGGAAGAACCAUGUAAAGUCUUUUUAAGAUUUUCAAGAGAAAGAAUCAAGUCAAACACAAGUAACUAAUUGUAUACUCAAAAUAUAAAUGUUUACCUUUAGUUUUAUACAUCUAAGAGAAUGUUUUAUCCCAGAACUUAGGAGUGAGCUUCAGUGGAACAGCAACCUAGUCAGUCCCCUCCUGGGUUGGCGCCUCUACUCAUGGUCUACAAUGGAUGUGGAAGAUUGCUCAGGAGGGAAGAAAUCCUGAGUCUCAAAUUCCUACAUCAUAAAGAUCUAGAAGUAUCUGCCAGAGGAAGUCUGCCACACCUCUCAACCAGAAGACUUGGUCUACAUGAAAGCUGACUGCCACCGUGCUGAAAAGGGCCCUUUCAAGUGCUUAGAUGACCCACUCAGCUAUCAGUAAAGGCAAAUGGCUGGGAUCCUGCUUCUGUGUGAAGCCAGCACCGCAGGAGGGCUACACUGUGGUCCCCAUAAAGGACCUAAAACAUCAGUUUCUAAAGUAACUGGCAUUGAACUCAACUGCAAAGAAGCAGACUGGGAAAUGCAUUGGUAUUCUCAUAGGCUGCUUGGUCUCCUGUCAUUCCAGUUACUGUGAGGAUCACAUUUACUGGAAAACAGCAUUCUUUGUUCCACUUCUGUUUCUCUGCAUUCCCAAUAAUACUGCCCACAGCCACACAUGUCUGGCCAGCUCAAAAUUGUGCUCCCAGUAUGGACUUGAUCUGGAAUAGGGUGUCCAACAGGCUGAUUUUGGCAGAAAACAGUGAGACCAUCUGCUCUAGUACUUUUUGAUAAUAACCAAGUAAAAAUUAAUGUGCAUCUAGGUAUUCAAACUCUAAAUUUGGCACAAAAGUGUUUGAUUGAAAGGAUGAGGUAAUAGAGGAAAGCAUUUAAUUGAGAGACAAACUGCAAAAGACAGGUCUUGACCAUCUUUUCAUUUCAUCUGCCCUUUACCAUUAGCUUUUUGUGAAGUUGGGUUUGUGCAGAAAUGCAAAACCUCCUCCUGAAUGAAGCUGUGUGCGAAGCUGUGAAUGAAGCCCUGCUCUCAUUUAGGAACCUGUCCUCAAGGAUCAGGCUCAGUCCUUUGGAGGAAAGGAACCCCUGACCACUCACUGGCCACUUUGCCCUGUUCCCAGUUUGAUUCCUGCUUUCUAAUUUGGAUUUUUUAAUCCUCAGGAAAAGGGCAAGCCUCCCCUUCUCUCCUGAUUCUACUACCUCCCCAUCCCUAAAAUUUGAGCAGCUAGCACAGUGAGCACCCAGAGAUGUGUUUCUUUCCCUCUUUCUCCCUCCCCCUCCCCCUCCCUCCACCUCACUCCCUUCAGCCCUAGAGCAUCCUUGAGUCUCCUCUUUCUAAGCCUGCCCACUGGUAAGCACUGCCCAGAGUGCCCUUCCAGGGUGGACCCGCUGUGAUUUCAUAGCACUCCACUGAAGCCACCCUGUGCACACACCACCAUGGCUGGUUCAUCCUCAGCUCUGCAUGCUGUGUGCCAACAGGAGCACAGGUCUGCCCAGGUUAAGUGAGCACACAUGGCUGUCACACUGGGAGCUCCACCAGGCUCAGCUGACUCAUCUCUACAUCUGAGUGCCUGUACUAGCAGGCCAUAGGGAAAUGUUUGAAUCAAAGUCCUGUGUCUCUCUGGCUAGAGAAAGCAACACAGCUGGUCCUCCCUCUCUCUCUUUUCUGACUCUGUAGCAGCCUGCACAGGAGCUGCCCUUCAGAGGGAGUUCCAGCACUGAGGUACAAAUAUUCAUAGGCCACAUCAUUUACAGACCAGAGGGGCAUAGCAGUUCCCCUCUAGUCCUUAGCUUUAGCCACUCAUGGGAGGCUACAGCAGUCUUACCUACCUUUAGCCUCCCACGAGAACCAGAGGUCUUCUGGACCAACCCCUACAUGCAGUGCUGAUUUUCCUGGUCACUGAGCAUGGGCACCUAGAUGCUGGGGAGGCUGCCUGAGACUGUGCAGUGUGACUCAUCUGAGGGAGGAGGCUGGCCUGGCCAUGCACCAGGUCCUAGUGGCAAUCAUAUCCCAAAUUCACCCAAGAACAGACCUGUCUUCCCACAGUCCCUGGAUGUGGCUCCUUAUUAUAGGCAGGACAUAGCUUAGAGACUAACAGCUGCUUCCAGAAUUCUUAAGAAGCACUGGAUCUGAUUUGGGCAAGUAAAUACCACCCAGCCCCUUCUUACUCUCCUUUGCAGGCAUUCUAAAACCCAGAGGGGUUGACAGGAGGUGGGCAGUAAGGACAGAUGGGUCCCAGGGAAACCUCUGGGUUCCAUACCUGCACUUCAGACAGAGAGGAAGGCUUGGCAUUUGUGUGAUAUUUAUUGAGCUUACCUGUGCACUCGGCACUGCUGAAUCCUUUGCAUUCAUUAUUUUAUUUAAUUCCCCCAAACAGCAAUAACAACCUACUGAUAAAGUGGAUGUGUUCAGUAAGUGAGGCCUAAUUAAGCUGCAUAACGUGUAAUUGGAUUAUGUUCAACUCUCCACACAUGUUAUACCAUCAUUUAAAAGCCCUGUAAAGCUCA